rnacentral:tRNA from 1 species
AGCCUUGAGGUGUUUGACACAUCAGAUUGCAAAUCUGAAGUAGCAGGCUAACACCUGCCAGGGCUU